UAUCGCAUUUGUUUAAAUUCUUUAGUAAAGCCGCAUAACAAAAACACCGAAAAACAUAGCGGCAUUCAAAUUGAAAAACAGGCGAAGAAAGAGUUAACAUUCUACACGACUCUGCAAAUAAGAAAUCUCCAUCAUGGUGAUCGUAUCAGCGGCCAUUGCUCCGCCGAAACAAAAUGAAGGAUGUGCCACUCAAAAAUGGUGGUCCAAUCCUUCGUCUUUCAAUAUGUGGUCCCCAUGGGCAUGGAACUGGAAGAUAAGCGAGUCAAGAGCUGACGGAGACAAUCCAAACCAACGGGAUGGAAGUAAUAAAACUCCAAAACUGGACAGGGAGACAACCCUUAGCAAUGAGGGCAAAAAACCAAACUAAAAGAAUUGGGCAAUACAUUUACGUCACGACACCCCUUCUGAAGUAAAAUAUUAGCCAUGUUGGCUGAACAAGAAUCCAAGACAAAGUUCUUCGUUCAAGUCGACCAACAUGGCGGCCAUGACGUCACAUGCACACCAAGAACACAGUAUUAAAUGUUGAACAAUUAUGUUCGUUUUAAAUGAAUUUCUAUUAGGGUUGCUAGUGAAAAUCCGCAACAACAAAAAAAGUUAAAGCACCGUGCCAUACUAGUCAGGGGAAUUCAGUCCAUACACAUCGGUUCACUGGUCAAACUCAAAACAUGCAAUCUAGGCUUGAAGGUACAAAGUUGACCAACCCUACGAAACUAACCUUGCAAGCUGGACUAGGUGGUUAGUGCUUUACCAGUGAACCAGCGUAAGGAAAGGUUUCAAUGUGUUUGUUGUGACGGAAAUAUUACAACUGUAAGCGGUCAGCGAGCGAACAUGGCGUAUCUAUUCUCGUUCCUCAGAAUUUUCUGAAUUUUGUAUAUCUAUACUCCUGACCAAACUUAGUUUAUUAUUUAAGCAAGGCAUUUGUGUAGAUCAGCCUAUUGUUGGUUGUUUCAAUUGGCUUGUGCUAUAAAGUAAGGAACAAAUUUUUUUGCAUUGUUAAUUAUAUGUAUAUAGCACUAAAUAAAAUAGAGUCAAUGUCAUUAACGUUGUCCACAGAAAAAUGACAUUUAGACAUUUAGACAUUUAGACAUUUAGACAUUUAGACAUUUAGACAUUUAGACUAAAAGAAAUAUCACGUGUUUCCUCGAACGUCCUGGCAUAAACCAAAGGCUGAAAUACCAUUCUCUAUCUUAAAUCCUCACUAAAUGGUCGGGGCAUUCUGGAUUUUCGAUUCACGAGUUGAAUUUUACAUUAAAAGUUCAGGCUGACGCACACGAGGCAAAGAAUACA